ACGUGAGCAACCUGCCCCUGACUCCGGGAUAAGCGGUGGAAACGCCGUCUAAUACCGGAUACGACCCUCCUCCGCAUGGUGGGGGGUGGAAAGUUUUUUCGGUCGGGGAUGGGCUCGCGGCCUAUCAGCUUGUUGGUGGGGUAACGGCCUACCAAGGCGAUUACGGGUAGCCGGCCUGAGAGGGCGACCGGCCACACUGGGACUGAGACACGGCCCAGACUCCUGCGGGAGGCAGCAGUGGGGAAUAUUGCGCAAUGGGCGAAAGCCUGACGCAGCGACGCCGCGUGGGGGAUGACGGCCUUCGGGUUGUAAACCUCUUUUACCACUCACGCAGGCCCCACGUUUUCGUGGGGUUGACGGUAGGUGGGGAAUAAGGACCGGCUAACUACGUGCCAGCAGCCGCGGUAAUACGUAGGGUCCGAGCGUUGUCCGGAAUUAUUGGGCGUAAAGAGCUCGUAGGCGGCGUGUCGCGUCUGCUGUGAAAGACCGGGGCUUAACCCCGGUUCUGCAGUGGAUACGGGCAUGCUAGAGGUAGGUAGGGGAGACUGGAAUUCCUGGUGUAGCGGUGAAAUGCGCAGAUAUCAGGAGGAACACCGGUGGCGAAGGCGGGUCUCUGGGCCUUACCUGACGCUGAGGAGCGAAAGCAUGGGGAGCGAACAGGAUUAGAUAC
rnacentral:rRNA from 1 species